CCAGACUCCUACGGGAGGCAGCAGUGGGGAAUAUUGCACAAUGGGGGGAACCCUGAUGCAGCGACGCCGCGUGGGUGAAGGAGCACCUCGGUGCGUAAAGCCCUAUCGGCAGGGAGGAAAAGCGAACAGGUUCGCCUGGACGGUACCUGACUAAGAAGCCCCGGCUAACUACGUGCCAGCAGCCGCGGUAAUACGUAGGGAGCAAGCGUUAUCCGGAAUUAUUGGGUAUAAAGGGUGCGUAGACGGGAGUCUAAGUUAGUUGUGAAAUCCCUCGGCUCAACUGAGGAACUGCAACUAAAACUGGACAUCUUGAGUGCAGGAGAGGAAAGUGGAAUUCCUAGUGUAGCGGUGAAAUGCGUAGAUACUAGGAGGAACACCAGUGGCGAAGGCGACUUUCUGGACUGUAACUGACGUUGAGGCACGAAAGUGUGGGGAGCAAACAGGAUUAGAUACCCGAGUA
rnacentral:rRNA from 1 species